rnacentral:tRNA from 1 species
CCUGGAUAGUGUAACGGUUAAUGCACUUGGCUGCUAACCAAAAGGUUGGUGGUUCGAGUCUACCCAGGA